UACCAACACCAGAACGCGAGCUGAGCUGUUGAGUCAACGCCGCUGCUGGUCUGUGUGGUGAAACUCUAACGGCGUUUCCCUCUAUAUGAUGCUCUGAAAAGGCUUUGCAUUCUAUUCAUUCGAACUUCGAAUAGUUCACGGUGAGACGGAAGAACAUAAUACUGUAUGUGCAGCACUGCUAUUUAAAGUGGCGCCGAUGACAACAAUCGUGAAUAUUGUUCUACUCAGUUAACGGAAUAUCCUUUCCCCUUCCCAUAACUCCGCGCAAUCAGUCUUUCUGCUGACUCCUGCACAAGGAGCUCUUAUUCCUUCCCCCCAUCCUUCCCUCUCACAACCACCAUGACCCUGAUGAGCGGCCUGUAGGGAGAAGUGUGAUUCUGUAUCAUCAGUGGAUCUCCACUUUGUCUCAAAGUGCUUACCAGGGGACCGGCAGCUGAUUGUCCAGAAGGGAAACGCUCUGAUUGGUCCGAUUUCAUCAGAUGAUGAUGCCACCCUGUCUGUUUCAGGAAGGACCGUAUUAUAAUAAUGAAGUCAAAGAGGGUUUGAACUAACACAGUACUAACACAGUACUAACGCAUUACUAACGCAAUACUAACACAGUACUAACACAGUACUAACUCAGUACUAACGCAGUACUAACGCAGUACUAAAACAGUACUAACACAGUCCUAAAGCAAUACUAACACAGUACUAACACAGUACUAAAACAGUACUAACACAGUACUAACACAGUACUAACACAGUACUA
rnacentral:lncRNA from 1 species